rnacentral:lncRNA from 1 species
CAAAACUCAAGUGGUAAGUUUUCUUCUAUUUCUAUAUAUUUUUGUCUUGUGAGACGUACGAUAUUCUCCCAAUUAUUUUACGAUGUGAAAUACAAAAUAUGUUUGUGUCUUACGUUUGGUAAAGUCCGGAGGUCACGGGUUCAAACCGUAACAAUAUUCUCUUGCAGAAAUGCAAGGUAAGAUUACGUAUAGCCCUUUGUGGUCCAAUUUUUUAUCAGACCUCCGCAUAGCGGAAGCUUAGUUCACCAAGCUAUUUUUUUUUGUGUGUCUUAUGUUAUUGAAUAAAGCUUGUGACUUUUGGAUUAAGUGGAUUCAUAUAAUGGAUCCCAACUAGUUUUUAAGAUUAAGGGUAGUUGUUGUACGUUGUUGGUUUUUGUUUUUUAAAAGCCUUUUUAUUUUUGUGUUGUUACAAGUUAAAAUUUGAUUUCCAGCAGAUAAUUGUAAAGACUGGAUUUUGUAACUUGGGAUAGGAGGGUGUGUAGGUCGAGGAUUAGGUUAGUCGGUUGUCGAGGGUAUUUUUUUCCAUACCAAUAUUAUUAGUUUUAUUUUAGUAUUUUCUUAUUCUUAGAUUUCUACUGCUAUCUGUUGUUUCUUUUAUUCCAUGUCUUCUCCCCUACUGCAAUUCUUUUUUCAAAACUGCUGUGAUUAUGUUUUUCUUGUGCCGAUGGUCCAUCAUAAACAACAUCUCUACCUUAUCAAGAUAAGGAUAAAGUCUGCGUUAUAGAUUACACUGAGUAUUUAAUUAUUGUUGGCAGUGUUAUUUUGUGUGUUGCCUACUGUAAUAAGUUUGCAACUUUUACUAGUUAGUAUUUGCUUCCCAAUUGACAUGCUCUUUUACCGAUAAAUGCAUAUGUUUGGAAUUAUAUAUUGGUGUUGUGAGGUGUUGUGAGCUUGGCGUAAUGGGUAUAUGUCACGAUCCAGAUUUACUCACCAUCAGGAGUUGUAAUGGCGCCUAUUGUCGAAGCUAGACAAGCCAACCCUUAUAAUUAUUUUCCCAAACAUGUAUCCAAAAACCAUUAAAUACUAAAUAAUUAAUUAAAGCAUGCGGUAAUCUUUCAAUAUCGAUAACAAUAAAAUAAGGUGUGGAAAAGUAACAUCAUGUCUCUACCCAGUAUCUGGUGUCACUGCUCACGGACAACUGAAGAGUACUAAAAAUAAUAGUCUGAAAGAAAAUACAACUGCAGUCUGUUUGAUACAAAUAAAACAAACUAGAAAAGAUAGCGAAGACUCGGGGCCCGCGAGCACCACCGAACUACCUCAGAGCCUCUGGACUGAAGGAUCACUCCCGGUCUAAAGCUGCGGUACGUAAACUGGAUCCUGACCUGUGCACAAAAAGGCACAGAAGCGUAGUAUCAGCACAACCGACCACAUAUGAUGGUAAGUAUCUGGCCUAACCUCAGUGAAGUAGUGACGAGGCUAGAUAGGACCUAC